AAUGAUUAUUCGCACACAAUCAGACUGUACAAAAGUACAUAGUAUUGGAUAACUGGUCCACUUUAAUCAAAUUAUAUUUGUUUACCAGACUAUCUUCCGUCUUACUGUUUUUGAACAUCGGUAAACUGCUGUUGCCUUAAUUGACUACAGAUGACAUCAUUUUAUAAAGUUUACAAAUGGAAUUAAAAGCACAAGAUGAAGAAUCAAUUAUGAUAAUUCAACUCCGAAGACUUUUUUCCAGCAGUUCCAAAGGUGACUCAGAUACCAUGAAAGAAUUAAAAAUUCGACUCAAGCAUCAUCUACCAAAAGACGUUCAAGAAUCUGGAAAAGAAUUUCAAGAAGUAUUUGACGCUUUAGCUUUAGGAAAGAAAAUAUCUCUCGGUGACUACAGAUUUCUAACUGAGGCACUGUUUGACAUUCACACAGAAGCAGUAAUGGUAAUAGAGAAAUAUCAAACAAAAAUCAAAGAUAUAUUAGGAAAUAACGAGGUUAAAAGUAAGAACAUAAUGCAUGAAGCUGAUAAAAUUUCAGAUUUGGAAUGCACUGAGACAGAAUCUGACAUAAAAAUCGACGUUUCAGAUAUUGUUGAGAAACAUACUUUACAAUUGCAGGAAAAGUUUUCAAAAAUAGGAUCACAUAAUUUAAAAGCAGCCCAAGUUGUGAAACCAAAGACCAACUAAUCGUUUAAAAAAGUCUUUAGGAACCAUAAAUAUCUCAAAAUAUGUUCAGACAAAAUACUAUGCAUUGCUUGUAGUCAUUCAAAUUGGUUGUUGCAGAAAAUCAUAAAUCUUUCAUAGUGAUUUAUUUGAAAUGCACUCAAAACUUACCAUGUUGUCAAAGUUCGAAUCACAUCGCAGCUAUUUCAUUUCUGACCAAAUAUACAGCAUAUUAUAUUUUGCACAGGAAGUGAACAAGCAAUGCAGUAAGAACAUAUAAUUUUUUCAUCAUCAAUUGAAUUAAGUGACUCAUCUUACUAAUGUGUGAGAUAUUUUACGGGCAUUUAAUGUCGGUGUAUCCUUGACUGGACUGUAUAUACAUGUAUAUGUCGUCAUGCACUAUGCAUAAUUAUUUACCGUUUACGCAUAAUAAUCUCAGAUUGUACAGUAUAUCAAUAUUCAUUCUAUUGUAGAUAUUUGAUUUGUCUAUAGGUAAUAAUGCAUGUAUUGAUAAAGACAUUACUUAUUUUCCCUAUAUUCAGGUUUUCAGUAACAGCUCUCAGUUACCAGCAAUUACCAGCGGUUAUUGGGAGCGAAGCAUAAAAAAAACCCCUCCCCCCCCCCAAAAAAAAA